UAGUCCACGCCGUAAACGAUGUCUACUAGCUGUUGGAUUCCUUGAGGAUUUAGUAGCGCAGUUAACGCACUAAGUAGACCGCCUGGGGAGUACGGCCGCAAGGUUAAAACUCAAAUGAAUUGACGGGGGCCCGCACAAGCGGUGGAGCAUGUGGUUUAAUUCGACGCAACGCGAAGAACCUUACCAGGUCUUGACAUCCUUGAAACUUUCUAGAGAUAGAUUGGUGCCUUCGGGAAUCAAGUGACAGGUGCUGCAUGGCUGUCGUCAGCUCGUGUCGUGAGAUGUUGGGUUAAGUCCCGCAACGAGCGCAACCCUUGUCUUUAGUUGCCAUCAUUUAGUUGGGCACUCUAGAGAAACUGCCGGUGACAAACCGGAGGAAGGUAAGGAUGACGUCAAGUCAGCAUGCCCCUUACGCUCUGGGCUACACACGUGCUACAAUGGUCGUGACAAAGAGUUGCUAGUCUGCGAAGGCAAGCCAAUCUCAUAAACGCGGCCUUAGUUCGGA
rnacentral:rRNA from 1 species